GUCCCUACGGGGCGCAGCAGUGAGGAAUAUUGGUCAAUGGGCGGGAGCCUGAACCAGCCAAGUCGCGUGAGUGAAGAAGGCCUUCGGGUCGUAAAGCUCUGUUGCGGGGGAAAAAAGGCAGCAUCAGGAAAUGGGUGCUGACUGAUGGUGCCCCGCCAGAAAGUCACGGCUAACUACGUGCCAGCAGCCGCGGUAAUACGUAGGUGGCGAGCGUUAUCCGGAAUGAUUGGGCGUAAAGGGUGCGCAGGCGGUCCUGCAAGUCUGGAGUGAAACGCAUGAGCUCAACUCAUGCAUGGCUUUGGAAA
rnacentral:rRNA from 1 species